rnacentral:rRNA from 1 species
CACGUAGGGGGCAAGCGUUGUCCGGAAUCAUUGGGCGUAAAGAGCUCGUAGGCGGCUCAGUAAGUCGGGUGUGAAACCUCCAGGCUCAACCUGGAGACGCCACCCGAUACUGCUGUGGCUAGAGUCCAGUAGGGGAGUGUGGAAUUCCCGGUGUAGCGGUGAAAUGCGCAGAUAUCGGGAGGAACACCAGCGGCGAAGGCGGCACUCUGGGCUGGUACUGACGCUGAGACGCGAAAGCGUGGGGAGUGAACAGG